CAGGUAAACUUUCUACCAGAAAGCUCUAUCUCUCUCAGAUCCAAGCUUUCAAUAAUGGUAUUGAACAUAAACGACCAUCUGCCGUCAAAGUUAUCAUUGUUCUUCUCCUCUCUCCUCCUGAUGAUAUUGAAAUCACCUCCAACUAAAAUUGGAAGCUGUUCUGACCCACAGAUUCGAACAAGGUCCGCCAGAAGCUCCGCUUUAAGCUCGGGCUGUGCGGCACCAUAAACCGCCACCAAAGCCCAGUUAAAACCAUCUAUCCUAGACCUGACUCGAAACUUCAUCGCGAAGUCGCCCAUCACUACACUUCGGACUUCAAGCGAAUCGCAUCUCACACCUAGUAAGAUACCAUCCGAUCUUCCUCGCGGAGGGAGGCAAUGCCAAUCGAAAUCAAUACCACCCACAAGAGAAGAAAGAAACUAAGGCGCAAAGUUAUCUCUACCCGUCUCCGAUAGAACAACAAAAUCUAACCUCUGCUCUAAAGCUGCCUCAGCUAGGAAUUUUCUUUUAGCCAAGUCCUUCAGACAUGGUGAACAUAUACGCAACCUGUUGACCAUGAAGGUUGCCUAUAUGCUCACCCGGAGGCCAGCCAGCGUCGUUCCAUAGUUUUUAUAUAGCAGAAGGCAUACAGUGGCAACCUUUGACAUUUCAUCUCAGAACAUAGAAGCUACACUUGCCCUUUCAUCUCUGAACAUAGAAGCUUCACCUGGACUCCCAUCCCACGGCACUACGCAGCUGUCUCCCCGAAGUUAGGGAUGGAGGGGCAUCACCUAUUCCGCGAGACCGCGACCAGGCACCGGGGGAGGCCGCCCCUACUCGCCCCUCCGCCUCGCAGGCGAUGGGGGAGGAGGCCGCUGCUAAAGUUGGUGAGCCGCCGCAGCCCUGUUCGUUUCUAUAUCUCUCUCGAUCCAGGAUUCCUGGUUGGUGAGCUGCACCCCUGUUCGUUUUUCUCUUUCUAUUCCUGCUUACAAAUUUGUGUUUCUCUGUUGCCACCCCCUGACGUCUGCUUCUGAGUUUGAGGCCACUAAUUACUCUGCAGUCCUGCAAAAACAAGUGACUGGUUGGGAGGUGAAAAAUGAGGGUGACAUUCUGAAGUUGCACAGGGCAUGGAAGGGGGUUUAACAGAUAAAGACUUCAUCCUUGCUGCAAUGAUCAAAGAACUAAAGCCAGGAGGCCUUCUGAGCAAGAUAAAAGCUACUACUACCCAGGAGUAGCUCUCAGGAAUCAAGCCACUUGCUUCCAUGCUCUGUGUGAACUUCUGAUGUGCUGCCCCAAAAGCAGAUACUUCGCAUGUGAUCAUGUCCAUUUGUCCUGGGUGACGCAUUUCUUUGAUGAUACGAAUUUGGGUCACCAAUACUAGUCCGUAUCUUAAUAUAUUCAGUAGUUUGAAGACGCCAUGCCUACUGUGUAGGCAAUGGCAUAUAUAUGAUGUACCGUGUGGCCAAACCAUUUGAGCCUUUUUAGGCUCUGUAUUGCAUUUGUGGUGGCUUUUCGGAUUCUGGGAUGUGGCCAAAAUAUCUCUACAACUAGUAAAGAUUA